CUGUGUCGGAAACCGCAUACUAUUCACACUCCAUACUGCGUUUACACUACUGCGUACUACAUAACCCACAAUGCAUUGCGCUGCUACCCGAGCCGAAAUCGACAGGCUGAAGCUAAUUUCACUUUAGCUCUAAACUCUUUAAAUACAUCACUUUAUUGAGAUUUUUUAAAAUCAGGCGAGAAAGCGGCCGUUUAGAUCCCGAGUGUGCCAUUUAUUUGUCCAAAUACCAACUGUUUACAAUUUCGUUACGACGAAUUCGGCAAAAAAUUAAGCUAGCCGAAGUGAGCAAAGCACUCUCGGUUAUUUUUACUUUUCUCACACUUGUCCAAAUACCAACUGUUUACAAUUUCGUUACGACGAAUUCGGCGAAAUUUAAGCUAGCCGAAGUGAGCAACGCACUUUCGGUUAUUUUUACUUUUCUCACACUUGUCCAAAUACCAACUGUUUACAAUUUCGUGACGACGAAUUCGGCGAAAUUUAAGCUAGCUGAAGUGAGCAACGCACUUUCGGUUAUUUUUACUUUUCUCAUACUUGUCCAAAUACCAACCGUUUACAAUUUCGUUACGACGAAUUCGGCAAAAUUUAAGCUAGCCUAAGUGAGCAAAGCACUUUCGGUUAUUUUUUCUCAUACAAAAAAACCCAUAGUGAUAAAUCACCGCUUUUACUUUGAAAACAAGAAGCCAACCAACUCGUAAUAUAUCCUGUCAUAUUUCCUGCUGUUUGAUCCUGCUGCUCUGUGGUCAGCCAACAUUUUUUUUUCACGGUCACGUCAUGUUGCAUCCUGGGUAAUUUGGGUAUGAGUAGUAAGCUGAUGAUACAUACUCGGAUACCCCAAAAUGGCAUACUGCAUACUCAAAAACAGUUAGUAUGAGUAGUAGGUAAGUAUGCAGUUUCCAACACAGCCAGUCUGUUUGUCUGGGUGGGUGGAGGCGGGGCCCGCUAGCAUACACACAGCGUGGGGCAAUGCAAGAAGGAAAGAAACUCGAACCAACCUGGUCAGGCGGUUGCACGUGUGUGAAUCCCUGGAAGAAGUGUGCGCCUCGCACACAGGUGAAGCUGCGCCUCGGGCCCGUGCUCGUGCUCCGGCGAGGUGGGCGCCCGGGUCACGUGGUCCAAGUCAUCCAGUAGGACCGCGGAGGGCUGCUUCCACUGCGCCUGCGUGAAAACGUCCUGCAGCGUCUGUCGCACCGUCUCCGCCCUUUUUCCUGAGAGAGGAGAAAACACACACGCGUUGUCUUGUCGCAUUAAACCCGCCAUGCAGCACAAGCGUGUCGUGUC